AAUGAACGCUGGCGGUAGGCUUAACACAUGCAAGUCGGACGGAAACGAUAGAAAAACUUGUUUUUCUAGGCGUCGAGUGGCGGACGGGUGAGUAACGCGUGGGAAUCUACCCUAUAGUUGGGGACAACGUAUGGAAACGUACGCUAAUACCGAAUAUGCUCUACGGAGUAAAGGUGCCCUCUCCUUGGAAGGUAUCGCUAUAGGAUGAGCCCGCGUGAGAUUAGCUAGUUGGUGGGGUAAUGGCUCACCAAGGCGACGAUCUCUAGCUGGUUUGAGAGGAUGAUCAGCCACACUGGGACUGAGACACGGCCCAGACUCCUACGGGAGGCAGCAGUGGGGAAUAUUGCACAAUGAGCGAAAGCUUGAUGCAGCCAUACCGCGUGUGUGAAGAAGGCCCGAGGGUUGUAAAGCACUUUCAAUUGGGAGGAAGGUUAAGUAGUUAAUACCUGCUUAAUUUGACGUUACCUUUAGAAGAAGCACCGGCUAACUCUGU
rnacentral:rRNA from 1 species